GGAGGUAACGCGUGGAUAACCUGCCUCACACAGGGGAGUAACAGUUAGAAAUGACUGCUAAUACCGCAUAAGCGCACAGUACCGCAUGGUACAGUGUGAAAAACUCCGGUGGUGUGAGAUGGAUCCGCGUCUGAUUAGGUAGUUGGUGGGGUAACGGCCCACCAAGCCGACGAUCAGUAGCCGACCUGAGAGGGUGACCGGCCACAUUGGGACUGAGACACGGCCCAA
rnacentral:rRNA from 1 species